rnacentral:rRNA from 1 species
GCUCGUGUCGUGAGAUGUGGGUUAAGUCCGCAACGAGCGCAACCCUACUUGCUAGUUACCAUCAUUAAGUUGGGGACGUCUAGCGAGACUGCCAGUGAUAAACUGGAGGAAGGUGGGGAUGACGUCAAAUCAUCAUGCCCCUUAUGACCUGGGCUACAAACGUGAUACAAUGGCUGGAACAAAGGGAUGCGAAGCAGUGAUGUGGAGCGAAACCCAUAAAAACAGUCUCAGUUCGGAUUGAAGUCUGCAACUCGACUUCAUGAAGUCGGAAUCGCUAGUAAUCGCGGAUCAGAACGCCGCGGUGAAUACGUUCUCGGGGUUU